rnacentral:rRNA from 1 species
GUGAAGAAGGCCUUUUGGUUGUAAAGCACUUUAAGCAGUGAAGAAGAUUCUUCGGUUAAUACCCGGAGACGAUGACAUUAGCUGCAGAAUAAGCACCGGCUAACUCUGUGCCAGCAGCCGCGGUAAUACAGAGGGUGCAAGCGUUAAUCGGAAUUACUGGGCGUAAAGCGAGCGUAGGUGGCUUGAUAAGUCAGAUGUGAAAUCCCCGGGCUUAACCUGGGAACUGCAUCUGAUACUGUCAGGCUAGAGUAGGUGAGAGGAAGGUAGAAUUCCAGGUGUAGCGGUGAAAUGCGUAGAGAUCUGGAGGAAUACCGAUGGCGAAGGCAGCCUUCUGGCAUCAUACUGACACUGAGGCUCGAAAGCGUGGGUAGCAAACAGGAUUAGAUACCCUGGUAGUCCACGCCGUAAACGAUGUCUACUAGUCGUUGGGUCCCUUGAGGACUUAGUGACGCAGCUAACGCAAUAAGUAGACCGCCUGGGGAGUACGGCCGCAAGGUUAAAACUCAAAUGAAUUGACGGGGGCCCGCACAAGCGGUGGAGCAUGUGGUUUAAUUCGAUGCAACGCGAAGAACCUUACCUGGUCUUGACAUAUCUAGAAUCCUGCAGAGAUGCGGGAGUGCCUUCGGGAAUUAGAAUACAGGUGCUGCAUGGCUGUCGUCAGCUCGUGUCGUGAGAUGUUGGGUUAAGUCCCGCAACGAGCGCAACCCUUGUCCUUAGUUACCAGCGGGUUAAGCCGGGAACUCUAAGGAUACUGCCAGUGACAAACUGGAGGAAGGCGGGGACGACGUCAAGUCAUCAUGGCCCUUACGACCAGGGCUACACACGUGCUACAAUGGUAGGUACAGAGGGCAGCUACACAGCGAUGUGAUGCGAAUCUCAAAAAGCCUAUCGUAGUCCAGAUUGGAGUCUGCAACUCGACUCCAUGAAGUAGGAAUCGCUAGUAAUCGCGGAUCAGAAUGCCGCGGUGAAUACGUUCCCGGGCCUUGUACACACCGCCCGUCACACCAUGGGAGUUGAUUGCACCAGAAGUGGUUAGC